GGGAGGCAGCAGUAGGGAAUCUUGCACAAUGGGGGAAACCCUGAUGCAGCGAUGCCGCGUGAGUGAAGAAGGCCCUUGGGUUGUAAAGCUCUUUCGUCGGGGAAGAAAAUGACUGUACCCGAAUAAGAAGGUCCG
rnacentral:rRNA from 1 species